CGGACCUCCAACAAAGGUAAACGGAACUGUUGUGUUGCAAAAUUGGACUAUUGGGCACCCAAGAUGGCAGCAAGUUCUGUGCCUUUCACUGAUAUCUUUUCUCAAGUCCUAAGAUCAUCAGACAUAGCAGAAGGUAUACAAUGUGUUGCAAGGAUAUCUAAAGUUGCCGCCUUGGCAUUUUUGGUGUGUAGGACCACUACCUGCUGGUAGUCUAGGUCAAACUUUAAAAAUUCAUCAUCACAACUCUCCACCAUGUCAGCCAAGUUCUUCAGAUUCUUCACAGGCUGGCCGUUGAAAGCAAGAACCUGAGUGUUGACAAUUUCUUCAUA
rnacentral:misc_RNA from 1 species